AAAUUGAAGAGUUUGAUCAUGGCUCAGAUUGAACGCUGGCGGCAGGCCUAACACAUGCAAGUCGAACGGUAACAGGAAGCAGCUUGCUGCUUCGCUGACGAGUGGCGGACGGGUGAGUAAUGUCUGGGAAACUGCCUGAUGGAGGGGGAUAACUACUGGAAACGGUGGCUAAUACCGCAUAACGUCGCAAGACCAAAGAGGGGGACCUUCGGGCCUCUUGCCAUCAGAUGUGCCCAGAUGGGAUUAGCUAGUUGGUGAGGUAACGGCUCACCAAGGCGACGAUCCCUAGCUGGUCUGAGAGGAUGACCAGCCACACUGGAACUGAGACACGGUCCAGACUCCUACGGGAGGCAGCAGUGGGGAAUAUUGCACAAUGGGCGCAAGCCUGAUGCAGCCAUGCCGCGUGUAUGAAGAAGGCCUUCGGGUUGUAAAGUACUUUCAGCGGGGAGGAAGGGAGUAAGGUUAA
rnacentral:rRNA from 1 species